UGCCUGUUCAGAGGGAUGGUCACACAGAAU
rnacentral:piRNA from 1 species